AACGAACGCUGGCGGCAUGCCUAACACAUGCAAGUCGAACGAGACCUUCGGGUCUAGUGGCGCACGGGUGCGUAACGCGUGGGAACCUGCCCUUAGGUUCGGAAUAACUCCCCGAAAGGGGUGCUAAUACCGGAUAAUGUCUUCGGACCAAAGAUUUAUCGCCUUUGGUUGGGCCCGCGUUGGAUUAGCUAGUUGGUAGGGUAAAAGCCUACCAAGGCGACGAUCCAUAGCUGGUCUGAGAGGAUGAUCAGCCACACUGGGACUGAGACACGGCCCAGACUCCUACGGGAGGCAGCAGUGGGGAAUAUUGGAAAAUGGGCGAAAGCCUGAUCCAGCAAUGCCGCGUGAGUGAUGAAGGCCUGAGGGUUGUAAAGCUCUUUUACCCGGGAUGAUAAUGACAGUACCGGGAGAAUAAGCUCCGGCUAACUCCGUG
rnacentral:rRNA from 1 species